rnacentral:rRNA from 1 species
GGACCCGACUGCUAUUUGGGUGAGAAUAAGCCAUGCAAGUCGAAUGGAAUACCAAAAUAUUCCAUGGCAAACUGCUCAAUAACACGUGAUCAACUUACCCUAUGGAAAACAAUAACCUCUGGAAACGGAGGAUAAUGGUUUAUAGUUGAAAAGGCUUGGAAAAGUUUUUCAAUAAAAGGGAAUAAUAAAAAUGGUUAUUAUUUUGCCAUAGGAUAGGAUUGCGGUCGAUUAUGGCUGUUGGUGAGGUAAUGGCUCACCAAACCAAUAAUCGAUAGGGGCCGUGAGAGCGGGAGCCCCGAGAUGGGUACUGAGACAACGACCCAGGCCUUACGAGGCGCAGCAGGCGCGGAACCUCCGCAAUACACGAAAGUGUGACGGGGUUACCCAAAGUGUUCAAUUUGAACUGUGGUAGGUGAGUAAUGUCCCCUACUAGAAAGGAGAGGGCAAGGCUGGUGCCAGCCGCCGCGGUAAAACCAGCUCUUCAAGUGGUCGGGAUAAUUAUUGGGCUUAAAGUGUCCGUAGCCGGUUUAGUAAGUUCCUGGUAAAAUCGGGUAGCUUAACUAUCUGCAUGCUAGGAAUACUGCUAUACUAGAGGGCGGGAGAGGUCUGAGGUACUACAGGGGUAGGGGUGAAAUCUUAUAAUCCUUGUAGGACCACCAGUGGCGAAGGCGUCAGACUGGAACGCGCCUGACGGUGAGGGACGAAAGCCAGGGGAGCGAACCGGAUUAGAUACCCGGGUAGUCCUGGCCGUAAACGAUGCAUACUAGGUGAUGGUACGGCCAUGAGCCGUAUCAGUGCCGUAGGGAAACCGUUAAGUGUGCCGCCUGGGAAGUACGGUCGCAAGGCUAAAACUUAA